AGAGUUUGAUCCUGGCUCAGAUUGAACGCUGGCGGCAUGCCUUACACAUGCAAGUCGAACGGCAGCACGGGUGCUUGCACCUGGUGGCGAGUGGCGAACGGGUGAGUAAUACAUCGGAACGUACCUUAUCGUGGGGGAUAACGCAGCGAAAGCUGUGCUAAUACCGCAUACGCCCUGAGGGGGAAAGCGGGGGAUCGAAAGACCUCGCGCGAUUAGAGCGGCCGAUGUCUGAUUAGCUUGUUGGUGGGGUAAAAGCCCACCAAGGCGACGAUCAGUAGCUGGUCUGAGAGGACGAUCAGCCACACUGGGACUGAGACACGGCCCAGACUCCUACGGGAGGCAGCAGUGGGGAAUUUUGGACAAUGGGGGAAACCCUGAUCCAGCAAUGCCGCGUGAGUGAAGAAGGCCUUCGGGUUGUAAAGCUCUUUUGUCAGGGAAGAAACACCGGCUCUAACACAGUCCGGGAAUGACGGUACCUGAAGAAUAAGCACCGGCUAACUACGUGCCAGCAGCCGCGGUAAUACGUAGGGUGCGAGCGUUAAUCGGAAUUACUGGGCGUAAAGCGUGCGCAGGCGGUUAUACAAGACAGGCGUGAAAUCCCCGGGCUUAACCUGGGAAUGGCGCCUGUGACUGUAUAGCUAGAGUGUGUCAGAGGGGGGUAGAAUUCCACGUGUAGCAGUGAAAUGCGUAGAUAUGUGGAGGGAUACCAAUGGCGAAGGCAGCCCCCUGGGAUAACACUGACGCUCAUGCACGAAAGCGUGGGGAGCAAACAGGAUUAGAUACCCUGGUAGUCCACGCCCUAAACGAUGCUGACUAGUUGUUCGGGAUUUACAUCCUGAGUAACGUAGCUAACGCGUGAAGUCAGCCGCCUGGGGAGUACGGUCGCAAGAUUAAAACUCAAAGGAAUUGACGGGGACCC
rnacentral:rRNA from 1 species